rnacentral:lncRNA from 1 species
CUGGUUGCCUGGAUAUCAGGGAAUAUGUGUCCCCCUCGCCCCCCUCCCGCACCUCCAUGGAGAAGCUGGAACUUUACCAGGCUUUUCCCACUUGCCUUGGGAUUUUCUGCCCAUCUUCCCAGGAACACCCGGCAGGCCCCAUGAAUGGACUCUGGGCCAAAAUGAUGUUUGAGAAAGGGACGGACCAUUUAGAUGACAAAUGGGCUUCAGGGCACUGUCAGAACGUCCAGGCGGUGGGGACUAUUAACGGUCACAUGGAGGCGGCCGCAUCUGUGAUGGCAGAGCGGGUCGAUGCUGAAAUUGGUCACACAGCCUCGAGUCCCAAGGCCCGGACAGAUGUGUUCUAUACACUUGUUUAAACACGGCGCUCAUUAGGAGCAGGAGAACCUACUCAUUCAUUCCACAAAUAUUGAAUGAGCAUCUGCAGUUUGCCCAGCACUAGUCUAGCCACAGGGGAGAGAGCUGUGAACAAGAUGGACAGGAUUCCUGCUCUUCUGAAACUUCCAUUCUAAUGAGGGAAAGUCAACGAUAAACAAAUGAAAAACUAUAUAGUAAGUCAGGUGGUGACACAUGCAUUGAAAAGAAAGAAGCAGGGGAAAGGGUGUGAGAAUGACAGUGGGGAGCGCAUUACUGUGGAUGGGGUGCAUGGGGAAGCCUCUUUGGGGGAGAUCUUACUUGAAUGAAAUCUUCCCUGAAAUUCCAAUAUUUAAAAUAGCUUAAGGCCUGCUUCAGUGUCUCACGCCUGUAAUCCCAACACUUUGGGGAGCUGAGGCGGGUGGAUUGCCUGCGGCCAGGAGUUCAAGAGCAGCCUGGCCAACAUGGUGAAACCCCGUCUCUACUAAAAAUGCAAAAAAUAUUAGCCGAGUGUGGUGGCGGGUGCCUGUAAUCCAGCUACUCUGGAGGCUGAGGCAUAAGAAUCGCUUGAACCUGGGAGGCAGAGGUUGCAGUGAGCUGAGAUCAUGCCACUGCACUCCAGCCAGGGCAACAA